AGAUGCAUAGAAAUGAAUGAGUGUCACCCCACAGACCACAGGGCUGGAAUGGGACACCGAAUAGUCCCUCUCGUCCAGGACACGCAGAAGGUUCUGAGACACACUUGGAGCCCACACAGGGUUCAUCCUGACCUGCAGCACACGGGCACAGUCCAGGGAGCUGAAACGGGGCCUCGAGAGCACUUGCUAGGGGAGAAAAGACCUUGAAGAAGCAAAGGGAAGGCCAGAGAAGGAGGGAAGAAGAGGGCCUGGCUCCCUCCUUCAGCCCCACAUCGCUGACCUCGACGCAACUACAAACACGAUAAGAGCUUCGUGGGGGCCCAGAGGACACCAACAUGGAAACCGGUUGCUGACAGGAGCUUCUCAACAGAUUCUCAGCAGAUCUGCUGACCCCAGGACUCAGCAACAACCACAACCCAACACCCCGUAAUCAAAAGUCAAGAACAUAGCCACCGCCCAACUCCAGGCAGCCAAGUUUCUGACCACCUCCCGUUUUAACUACCAAUGGCUCAAGUCAGAGCGGGGGAAAAAAAAGGGUUCUCUGGUUUCUUUAACUGUUCCCACACCAGAUCUGCUUUUCUUGCAGACCCUUAAGAUAAAAGAAAGACUGUUCAGUU